rfam:Pichia angusta strain DL-1 mitochondrion, complete genome.
GAUAAAAGACCUAAAGGAAACUGUAAUUUAAAGCACUAGGUGAAUUGAAACAUCUUAGUAACCUAAGGAAAAGAAAUCAACAGAGAUUCUAUGAGUAUUGGUGAGAGAAAAUAGAAUAGCUUAAAUAAGUAAAUUGUAAACUAACGAUUGAAUAAUGGGAUAACUAAUCCUAAAGCUAAAUAUUAUCAAUAAGCUUUAACUAGUACCGAAAGGGAAUUCUACUAUAUUAGUGAAAUCAUGAGCAAUAAGAGAUCUUUAAUAAAAAAAGAUUGAUUAUGUACCUUUUGUAUAAUGGGUUAGCAAGUUAUAAUUAUUAGCAAAACUAAAGAAUAAAUUAGUUAUAAGGAAACUGUAAAAAAUAAUUUAAAUAAAAAUAAAUUAUUAAAAGUUAAUAGUUAUAGACCCGAAAGUAGAUGAUCUUAUCAUCGCCAAGUGGUUUAUUUAUUAUGAUUUAAUAGAUUAUAAUAAAGUUAAUCGACUGAACAAGUUAAUGUUGCAAUAUUAUUUGAUGAGCGAUGAUAAGCAGUGAAAGACAAAUCUGAUCUACAGAUAGCUGGUUUUUUGUGAAAUAUAUCUUAGUAUAGCAUUAUUAUAGUAACCAGGAGGUAAAGCAAUUAAUCAUAAUUGGGGUCUUUUGAUUAAGAUUAUCAAUAUGAUUUAAUCUCAUAAAUCUCUUGCGAUUACGAUAUAAUAAUAGUCAGACUAUUGGCGAUAAGGUUUAUAGUCAAAAGGGAAACAGCCCAGAUUAACAGGUAAAGUUCCAAAUUUUAUUAAAAAUAUUGACUAAGUGUAAUUAAUAUAGAUCACCUCUAUAACAACUACGAGAUGGGUUUGACAGUAAUCUAUUCUAUGAUCAACGUGUAUCAACGGACUAGUCAUGAAUUAAUUAUUACUUUUUUAGUAAUAUAUUAAUAAAGAGGGAUUAUUAUAGACAAUAAUCGGAACUUAAUUUUUAGAAGUAUAAAACUGAACCUGUAAAUAUUAAUAGUUAGUUUAAUUAAAUUAUUAAUAUGGUAACAAAACAUUCAAUGAAUAAAUAUCUUAAUUAAAUUAAGGUAAUUUCUAACUAUCUUUUUUAAUAGAUAGAAAUAUAAACAAUUGAAUAGAGAAUGCUGACAUGAGUAACGACUAAGGGGCUAAUCCCCUUCACUUUAAGUAUGAGGUUUUAAUAAAAAAUCGGUCCCUAAGAUUUAUAUUGAAAGGUAUGAAUUAAUAGGAAAUUAAUAAUGAAAAGAAAGACUAAUAAGGUUUUAAACAAUAAUUAGUACUGGAAAACCUUUUCAUAAUAAUACCGUAAUAAAACCGACACAGGUAUACGAAAGUAGAAAAGAAAGUGAAUAAGAUAACCUCAUUUAAUGAACUCGGCAAAACAUAUUUCUUACGUUAGUCAAAAGGAAAUAAUAAAGUACAUAUCGUGCGACUGUUUACUAAAAACACAGCACUUUGCAAAAACAAAUCGUUGUAGUAUAAAGUGUGAAUUCUGCCCAAUGCUUAAUAAUAAGAUAUUUUAUUGAAAGAUAAGGUAUUCAAAAGUUAAGUCAAUGGCGGCUUUAUAAUGAGAGUCAUAAUGUAGCGAAAUGCCUGCACAGAAGAUUUGGGAAAUCUUCAUCCUAUGGGCCAAACUACCAAAUUCCGGGGAACCCCUAAAGCUUAUAUUACCAAGUUAUUUAUUGAAAAAUAGAUAAUGGCUGAACUAAUCAUUCAGGUAUGGUAACAAGAUAUAAGAUACAUGAAAAUGAAAUGGGCAAUCGCGGAUCUAAAUCAUUAUAAAUAAAUUUUAUAAUGUAAAAGAGCAACGAGUAUACGGUAGUUAUCGAAAUAAUUUAUUAGUUACACUUCAAGGAGAAGAGCAUAUAAAUUAAUUACGAUUAAGAUGUACUCUAACGGCUUGCGAAAGUAAGUAUCAGGUCAAAAUCCCAUCUAAAUUUAAUUUAAAGAAAAUAUAAAUAAUAUUAAAUAAUUUAAAUUAAAUAUGAUAAAUUUGAUUUACCGUGUGUCUACUAAUUAUAGUCCCGCAUGAAUGGAGUAACGAUGCGAUAACUGUAUCAAAUGAGGUCUUAGUGAAAUUGAAUUAGCGGUGAAGAUGCCGUUUACCUAAAGUUAGACGAGAGUGCGACUAGUAAAAGUAUCUA